rnacentral:rRNA from 1 species
GUGGCGUGGGGGCAUGCAUACCAUGCAGUCGAACGGCGGACAGCACGCAGCAUGUCGUCUGCGUCUGUAGGGUGGCGAGUGGCGGACGGGUGAGUUGUGCAUCCGGACCUAGCCUCAGGUGGGGGAUUUGGUAGGGAAACUUACGCUAGUACCGCAUACGUCCUACGGGGGAAAGCGGGGAUCUUCUUACCUGCGCGGUUGGAUGGACCGAUGUGCGAUUAGCUAGUUGGUAAGGUAACGGCUUACCAAGGCGACCAUCGCUAGCUGGUCUGAGAGGAUGAUCACCCACACUGGGACUGACACACGGCCCACACUCCUACGGGAGGCAGCAGUGGGGAAUAUUGGACAAUGGGCGCAAGCCUGAUCCAGCAAUGCCGCGUGUGUGAAGAAGGCCUUCGGGUUGUAAAGCACUUUUAUCAGGAGCGAAAUCUGCAGGGCUAAUACCCAUGCAGUCUGACGGUACCUGAGGAAUAAGCACCGGCUAACUCCGUGCCAGCAGCCGCGGUAAUACGGAGGGUGCAAGCGUUAAUCGGAAUUACUGGGCGUAAAGCGUGCGUAGGCGGUUCGUUAAGUCUGCUGUGAAAGCCCCGGGCUCAACCUGGGAAUGGCAGUGGAUACUGGCGAGCUAUAGUGUGUCAGAGGAUGGUGGAAUUCCCGGUGUAGCGGUGAAAUGCGUAGAGAUCGGGAGGAACAUCACUGGCGAAGGCGGCCAUCUGGGACAACACUGACGCUGAGGCACGAAAACGUGGGGAGCAAACAGGAUUAGAUACCUUGGUAGUCCACGCCCAAACAAUUCGAACCUGGAUGUUGGUCUCACUCGGAGAUCAAUGUCCAGCUAACGCGUUAGUUCGCCGCCUGGGGAGUACGUUCCGAGAA